GUAGACGCUGGCGGUGUGCCUAUACAUGCAGUCGAGCGGAUCUUCAUUAGCUUGCUUUUGAAGAUCAGCGGCGGACGGGUGAGUAACACGUGGGCAACCUGCCUGUAAGACUGGGAUAACUUCGGGAAACCGGAGCUAAUACCGGAUAAUCCUUUCCCUCACAUGAGGGAAAGCUGAAAGACGGUUUCGGCUGUCACUUACAGAUGGGGCCCGCGGCGCAUUAGCUAGUUGGUGAGGUAACGGCUCACCAAGGCAACGAUGCGUAGCCGACCUGAGAGGGUGAUCGGCCACACUGGGACUGAGACACGGCCCAGACUCCUACGGGAGGCAGCAGUAGGGAAUCUUCCGCAAUGGGCGAAAGUCUGACGGAGCAACGCCGCGUGAACGAUGAAGGCUUUCGGGUCGUAAAGUUCUGUUGUCAGGGAAGAACAAGUACCGGAGUAACUGCCGGUACCUUGACGGUACCUGACCAGAAAGCCACGGCUAACUACGUGCCAGCAGCCGCGGUAAUACGUAGGUGGCAAGCGUUGUCCGGAAUUAUUGGGCGUAAAGCGCGCGCAGGCGGUUCCUUAAGUCUGAUGUGAAAGCCCCCGGCUCAACCGGGGAGGGUCAUUGGAAACUGGGGAACUUGAGUGCAGAAGAGGAGAGCGGAAUUCCACGUGUAGCGGUGAAAUGCGUAGAGAUGUGGAGGAACACCAGUG
rnacentral:rRNA from 1 species